UACGUAGGGCGCAAGCGUUAUCCGGAAUUACUGGGCGUAAAGAGCUCGUAGGCGGUUUGUCACGUCUGCUGUGAAAUCCCGAGGCUCAACCUCGGGCCUGCAGUGGGUACGGGCAGACUGGAGUGCGGUAGGGGAGAAUGGAAUUCCUGGUGUAGCGGUGGAAUGCGCAGAUAUCAGGAGGAACACCGAUGGCGAAGGCAGUUCUCUGGGCCGUAACUGACGCUGAGGAGCGAAAGCGUGGGGAGCGAACAGG
rnacentral:rRNA from 1 species